rnacentral:antisense_RNA from 1 species
GUUUAUCACCUAUAAAAUGAGUCUCUCUUGCUUCUAAGAUGUCAGAAGGAGAAAACAAUGGAGCACUGUAGGGGUUUCUUAGUUGCUCCUCCAUUUUCAACCUUGCAUUUUGACUAUCCAUGGCUACUUUGGUUGAUCUAAUAUUGAAAACUCCUGUUGCUGUGUUAUAGUCAAAAUUUGAGUCAUCAUCUUCCUUAAUAGGUCUCAUUUUAUCAAUUGAUGUUGCUCUAGUUGGAGAUUUGAGCCUUCCAACCGUAACAAAGGGCUUAGAAACUGAUUUGUUUUCUGGGGAAUGCGUUUUAUUUUCUAUGCUUUCUCUGGUCCUUCUAAUUCUACCAAUUCCUACUUUUCCCGUAUUUAAGAUGUUUUCUUCUGGACUUGAAGUUCGAACUAAAUAUUCAUCUUGAGUAUAAGAAGUCUUUGGUUUUACCCUUCCAAAAUUAUUUGAGGCUGUGCUCUUUUUUAAGUCAAGUUCUACUAAAUCUUGUAGUUUCAUUAACUCUGAUUCAAGCAUUUUUAUGGGGCUUUCAGAGGGUCCUUUUUCGGGAUUUGUACCUGGAAUGCCCAGUUCUUCCUCUUCUUCAGCUAGAUUAUCCAAGGUUUUAGGUGAACUUGUUGAAUAACUCUUAUGAGUUUGAGGCAGUGUUGGAGUUUUAAUGCGAAGAUUUUCUUCUGUUGAACCUUCAUAUUCAUCAGUAUUUGCUCUAGACUCAACAUUGUUAUCUGCAGAAGAACUUCUACCGGAUUCAGAAAUAUGGCUUUGAGCACUAGAGUAGUCUUCAAUAGAACUAUCCGAGAACCCUACACUUACAGAUCUAGUUUUGGGAUUAUUUAAAUCUGUACUCCUUGAUAUGGCCGCUUCUUUUUUGGAGCCAGACUUAGAAUCAGAACCAAAAACGGAAUCAAAAAUGGAACUGGAACUUGAACCAGAAUCAGAACCUGAACCUGAACCUGAACCUGAACCGGAACCAUUCUUUUUUGGACUGGAAUUAAGUGCGGUCGAAUAAGCAUUCAGUUCAGAAGCAAGUGCGCUACUAGGUUUUGAGUAGAAUGUCCUUGUCAAUGAUGCAUUCUUUAACUCAUUUUUGAUUUUCCUUUCUUCGUAAUCUCUUAAUCUUCUUAAAGAGUCCUUAUUUUCAUCAUUUUUAGAAUCCAUAUACCCCUCAUAAAGUAAUUCUUGAUUUUUCAGAUCACUAAUGUUAUGAUUCAUUACUGCACCAUAGGCGUAUUCUUUUUUCAAGGGUGGCCUCUUUUGCAUAGAAUCUAUUACAGAUAUUAACUUAUCCAUAAC